AUGUCACAUUCUUCUACCUUCUCAUUGGUAAAAUUCUUAAUGGUUCCAUUAAGAGGUAGCCUCUUAAUGACUAUUCAGAGGCUACCAAACAGCCCCUUAGGGUAUUUUAAGGUAUUUUAGCGCAUUUUAGCGUAUUUCGGCGUAUUUUAGUGUAGGAUCGGGAUUCAAUCAAACGAGUCGUUCAGAAGAGUUCUCGAUCAAUACGAAAGGCGGAAUCAGACGUAUUGAUGUUAUAACAGCUAGAUUUGCACGUAGAAUCACUUUAAAUGUCUAUUGUACUGAUUUGACAAAGUUACACGAGCUGGUGACACUUCGGCAGAGCUUCACUACCGGAAUCCAA
rnacentral:lncRNA from 1 species